rnacentral:rRNA from 1 species
CCUACGGGUGGCAGCAGUAGGGAAUAUUGCUCAAUGGGGGAAACCCUGAAGCAGCAACGCCGCGUGGAGGACGAAGGUUUUCGGAUCGUAAACUCCUUUUGUUAGAGAAGAUAAUGACGGUAACUAACGAAUAAGCACUGGCUAACUCCGUGCCAGCAGCCGCGGUCAUACGGGGGGUGCAAGCGUUACUCGGAAUGACUGGGCGUAAAGUGCACGGAGGCGGGGUUGCAAGUCAGAUGUGAAAUCCUAUGGCUUAACCAUAGUACUGCAUGUGAAACUGUUAUUCUAGAGUAUGGGAGAGGUAGGUGGAAUUCUUGGUGUAGGGGUAAAAUCCGUAGAGAUCAAGAGGAAUACUCAUUGCGAAGGCGACCUGCUAG